rnacentral:rRNA from 1 species
ACAUAGCCCCCCGUUGCUAAAAUUAUUUAUGGGGGGUGUGAACUGCCCAGUGUAGCAAAUUAACGGCCGCGGUACUCUGACCGUGCAAAGGUAGCAUAAUCAAUUGGCUUUUAAAUGAAGUCUGGAAUGAAAGAGGAUACGGAAUUAAUCUAUCUCUGGAUCUUUUUAAUAUUAAUUUACUAAUUAAGUGAAAAGGCUUAAAAUAGAAAAAAGACGAGAAGACCCUAAGAGUUUAAUUUAUUUUGUUGGGGCGACAAGGGACCAUAAUGAAAACGUCCUUAAGGAAAAAAGUCUUAGUUAUAAUGAAUUGAAAAACUACCUUAGGGAUAACAGCAUUAUUUAAUUUAAGUUUGUGACCUCGAUGUUGGACUAGGUUCUUUAAAGGUUAGCCACUUUUAAAAAAGAUUCUGUUCGAAUUUUCAAUACCUACGUGAUCU